rnacentral:sRNA from 1 species
AGAUAAAACAACAGAUGAAACAACAGAUAAAACAACAGAUAAAACAACAGAUGAAAAAACAGAUGAAACGAAACAAAUUGUUCGAACUAUUGUAAACAAAGAGCGUUACGACUUCUUGAAGUAUCUUUUACAGCAAGGAUUGAAGCUAAACACGUGCUUAGAAACAAGCGAUAUUCCUCCUAAAAGAAGUCCGUAUCACAAAAAGUCCAUAAAUAGUUUGGAAAGUUCAAGUUUAUCCUACAGACAAAAGAAGGAAGAUCGUUUGUACACCAAGUAUCUAAAGAAUCGAA